AGGGCACCACCAGGAGUGGAGCCUGCGGCUUAAUUUGACUCAACACGGGGAAACUUACCCGGCCUGGACACUGGAAGGAUUGACAGAUUGAGAGCUCUUUCUUGAUUCAGUGGGUGGUGGUGCAUGGCCGUUCUUAGUUGGUGGAGCGAUUUGUCUGGUUAAUUCCGAUAACGAACGAGACUCUAGCCUAUUAAAUAGGCUCUCGGCUUUUAAACGCCGGGAGGACUUCUUAGAGGGACAGGUGGCGGUUCAGCCGCACGAAAGAGAGCAAUAACAGGUCUGUGUAUGCCCUUUGUUGUCCGGGGCCGCACGCGCGCUGACUGAAGAGAUCAAGAUUGCUUUGCGUUACUGCUCUGCUCCGACUGGAGUGGGGAACCCACUGAACCUUCUUCGUGAUUGGGAUAGAAGAUUGUAAUUAUUCUUCUUGAACAAGGAAUUCCCAGUAAAUGCGAGUCAUAAGCUCGCGUUGAUUACGUCCCUGCCCUUUGUACACACCGCCCGUCGCUACUACCGAUUGAA
rnacentral:rRNA from 1 species